rnacentral:lncRNA from 1 species
CAAAAUCAUUCUUUGGUCUUUUUAUUAAGGGUUUCAAAAAUCAGUGAAAAAGGGAGUUAUUCCCAUCCUACCCCAUUCCAGUAUGUUUAUUGUAUAUUUAUCUUGUCACAGGAUGAGCUCGAAUGCAACGCUGGGAAGUUCUGGGGGGAAGUGUCCCCUUAACUCUGCCAUUGAACACCAAGGAUCAGACGCCCCACAGGAGAGCACGCAUGGGUAAAAGCAUGAGCUCUUCCAAGAACAAUAUGAGAAAAAAGUUCUACAAUCAAAGCAGGUAUCAGGUGCUGUGGAAGAGCAGAAGAUUUGCCACUCACUUUGCUUCAGGUUGGAAGGUUUUCUGGAGGAAGGUUGCAUUGGAGAGGAGUCUUGGAAGGUGAGCCAGAGCUUGCCAGGUAGGGAAGGUGGGUGGAAGGAG